rnacentral:rRNA from 1 species
GACAGAGGGGGCAAGCGUUGCUCGGAAUCACUGGGCGUAAAGGGCGCGUAGGCGGGAUGGCAAGUCAGUCGUGAAAUCUCUCGGCUCAACCGAGAAACGUCGGCUGAUACUGCCGUUCUUGAGGGAUGCAGAGGAGACUGGAAUUCCCGGUGUAGCGGUGAAAUGUGUAGAGAUCGGGAGAACACCGGUGGCGAAGGCGGGUCUCUGGGCAUUUCCUGACGCGAGGCGCGAAAGCGUGGGGAGCGAACAG